rnacentral:lncRNA from 1 species
ACUUUUAAGCAAUAUUAUGUCAAUAUUUGGUAGCAGAGAGUAACAUAGUAACAUUUUAGUAUGAAUUUGAGUAAUUUAUUUAUUUUUCCUGAUCAUUAGUUUAUUCUUAUUGGUAAUCUUGCGAAUCAACGUGGAUUGUUAGACUAGUGUAAAUUUUAUUUGUUAUAUUCUGAGGUUUAAAAAAAAAUUUCUUUGAUAAUUUUUUUUUCCCGAGUAGGAGGGGAUUGUAACGGUCCACCCGUUAUAAUAUCAUUUUUAGUGCUUUAAUUAUUUUUAAAAUUAUUUUCUUUUGACCUCCCAUUUAAAUUCUUUAAUUUCUCGUAAAGGACUUCUCAUGUGACGUCACACUGUACGGAACAUAGUUGAACCGUUCCUUGUCAUUUAAUUCGUGUUCCGUGAGAGUUUGACGUCUUCCUCGCUGAAUGAGAGAGGAAUGCUCUUUAUUUGACUGUGAGCUGUGGUUCGAAUCGGUUAUACCAAUGGCGGGUUGAUAAUUUCAACUAUUUAAAUCAUUUUUGUUAAUUUCCAAGUGAAAAGCUAUCUGGAGCCUGGAGUAUGGAAACAUAUGUGUAACUCAACACCUCAUGGAAUCUGGAUAAGAAUCAACCCGCCAUUUGGGAGAAACCAUAAGAUGAAGUCAUAGCCCCUUCUUUGACCACCUAGGGAAACCACCACAGCCACAGUCAAGUCAACAUUGGGAGUAAGUCAUUUUUGGGAACAAGCUUUUUGGGAGCAUUCCAGCUCCUUUUCGUCCUGCCACCUGGGCCUACAGAGGGCAUGGGACCGCAUCAUCUUGAUGCUCAUUUCUGAGGAUGCAGCAGCAACCUCUUUAGGAGUCGUUUGGGAACAUUUAGUGUUGUGUUUUAAGUAACUAUGGUUUUUAUAUAUCAGACAUUUAUUUGAUACAUUAUGUUUAUUAAUUAUUUUUUUUCAGAUUUAGCGUACAUUUGUUUUUAUAUGACAUAUUUGUAUACUAUUGUAUUUGGUUCCCAAACUUUGUAUCUACGGUAACUUCUUGUGCACAGGAAUAAGCCUAGAGAAAAUUAGGUUUUUAAUACUUUAUUAUUGCUUUGAUAUAAUAUUACUUGCUUGUUUCCCAAAUAUUUUCUUGUUAUUCGCUUUAUUUCGAUUGUUCGGUUAAUUCGUCGUUACUUUAUUUCAUUGCAUUUUCUCGGUUAAGUUAGGUCAUCGUUUCGGUAUUAAUUACUUCAUUACUAUAACUUUAUUCAUUUGUAUAUUUAACUUUAUUUAUUCAUUAUGGUAUUUUCUCUUAGUGAGGCUUGGGCCUAUUUAUUUGUAGUAUUUUCAUCUUUGUCAGUUUCCUUUAGUUGUACGUCGCAGGCGUACUAUAACCAUUUGGUAGAAGACAUAUGUAAUUUUGUACACUAUAUGUUAGUAAGAGGUACUUAUACCUUUAAGUUUUGUAACAGGUAACAUUAUUAUUAUCUCAAAUAUAACUUUUUGUAUAACUUAUGUCAUUUUAGAGUCACAUGAUAUGCACUUUGUGUAACUCAGAGAUUGUCCAAGAUCUAGUAGUUAUUUUUAAUAAAUAUUUACUUAUUUUGUA